CAUGCGCCUGGAGUACAUCACACAUUAUUUGGUUAUAUUAUUGCUACACGUUAACAUAAUGAAAUAAAUUCUUAUUUUGUUACCCCUAAUAAUUUUACCUCUUGAUCUUCACCUAAUGAAAAAUUGGAGUAUGUUCCAUACAGUAAUGGUUCUGAUGAUAGCUUUACUGCAGCAUGCAGUUCUUUAAGAUGACCCCAUGUAGGUUGCCAUAUUAGACCUUUCAAAUAAUAUAACUAAAUAUAAUUAAUCAUUGUACAUGGUAGAAUGGUGUAAAUGCAUUUAGAUUUUCUAUCUUAUGCAUAAAUAUUUACCAUACUCAUCAAGAGGUGCUCCAUCGUAGUAGCUUGUUGUGACAUAUGAAGAGGCAAACCUCCCGAAGUUUGUUCCUCCAUGGUACUGCAUCAUAAUCAUUAAUCAGCACAAAAUUAUUAAGAGGUUGUCCAUUCAAAACAAAAUAUUACUAAGAGUUUGAACUAGGUUUUUUUUUAAGAUUUGCCCCUAAAGUCCAUACCAUGUAGUAGCUCACAAAGCUUCCUCCCUUCCUUGCUAUAAAAAGUGCAACUGCAAAGGUAAUAUCUCCUGUAGAUCUCAGUUUUGUAUCAUUACCAUAUAUAGGAUAGCUGGACACAGAACAAUUCCAUUAGGCCUUGCGUUUUCACCUGAAUUAGAAGAUGCAAGACCAAAUGAGCAGAAAUUUCAUUCAACAUACCGAGUUGUCCAAUUUUCUGUCCACAAUGCAGGCUUGUUGGGUGAGUUUGGUCCUACAAAUGUUUCUCCGCAGAUGAGCCCGUUGCAGGUAUUAAUCUGUACACGAGCUUUUGUCAGCUGAUUUAGUUUUUCAGCUUAAGAUGUAUAAUCAAGGGAAAUGGUAAGUUAUGAAUACUGACAAUUGGAUCUGGAGCGUCAUUCUGCUUACACAUCAUCCAUGGAACACCUGUUUGGAGACCUACAGCCAAUGAAGCUGCCCAUUGGACAUAACGUGGGCCACCUGGGCCAAAUGCUGGCUCAACCAUUUGGCAAAGGUAGAAAAUAACACGAAGAAGACAGGAGCAACAAGCACAGAGCAAGAUUACUGAAGGCAAGGCGUAAAGUCGAUGGCCUACAGUCAGCACAGAGAGUUGAAGAUCUCCAGUGCCACCUGCUCCAUCAACUUUGCACCAUGCUUCAGAAGCGUCUUGCUUGGUUCUUUUGUCCGCAGAAUCACGCAAUCACGCAGCAGGGAAACAAUAUGACAUACUACAGUAAAUGAGGGUUACCCAGCCUCUUAUGCUGGAAGCAAGCAUGCUUGUGCCUUUUCCAGAUCGUCCAAGGUAUGUCUGCAACCCCACUGAGAUCAAUUUCUAAUUUUCUACUGUAGUUCCAUCAGCAUAAGACGGUAACCAACAUCCAAAGAGCCCAGUCACUCCGCUAGGCGUUGUGGCCAUACCAAAAGCACAUCUAGCCACACCCAACACAUAUCUUGCGAGAGUACAGCAGAAAAAUAAGUGAUCAAUCGACUCAUACAUCGAACAGAACUGAUAGCAAACUGCCCCUUUCCAUCCACGGUGAGUAAGACUGUCUUUUGUCAGGAUACGUCUCUGAAUCCUUCUCCAUGAGAAUGAUAGUCAUGGAUUAUUUGUAAUUAUGCGGGACAUCGUAUUUCUGGGUAUUUUAAUUUUCCAUCUGACAAUAUUUCAGGAAUGAAAACUGCAUAAAUGUAUAAUUGAAUUUUGUUUUUGGGGAAAGCAUGCAUGUUUAAUUGGAUACGCAAGGAGCAGUGUUGGGCCAUGUUUCUGUAGACCAGAAUGCUGGGUAUGCAAGUCGGACGUUAGGCAGAGCUGAGAAGCGUGCCGUCAAGAAUAGAAGCCCAUGAAAGUUAAGUUUUGUAACUUCAAAUUGGGAUGGCCUUUGUGGUGUAAGUACCGUUUUUUAAGUGCCAUUGAAACCAACCCAUGUUUAAAAAAGGGGAAAUUUGCCGGAGAACACAGUUAUUUUG